ensembl:snoRNA small nucleolar RNA SNORD75
AGCCUGUGAUGGUUUCAGUGUAAGAGUAGUGGACAGAAGUGAUUUCUGAAAACUAUGUGCUGAGGCU